ACGGCGGAUGGACUUGAGCUCCCCCAGACUCACCGAGAAGGCCCAGGAGCCCCGGGGGGAGCUGGGCUCUGCACCUUGGGGACAGCGCAGCGUUGGGAGCAGGCGGGGGAGCCAGGGGCGGCUCGGUUGUUCCUGAGAGCCCACCUCGAGCCAGCCCCAGGCCUCCCACCCUGUCCGUCUCACCUCCGACCCUCGACCCUCUCUUCACUCGGGAUCCCAACCCUUGAGCCUCAACAACAGGCUGAGUUUCCUACACACGCCCCAGGCCGCUGGCUUUGCUCCUGUUGGGAGAGCAAACUCCCAAGCGCCCCUCAGAGCAGAGCCAGCCUCUGGCACCACCUUUGCCUGGGGGUGAGAUACCUCCUCUAGGUCUCCAGCACCCUUGUGUGAUGCACCCAAAUUACCCUGUCACCCUGCACUUGGCACUUUGACAGCCCAAAGACUUCAGAGGCAGGACUUAACGUGGGGGAGCCUGGCAGGAUGUGCAAAGACGGGAACCCCUGGAGACCUGGCCAUGCUGGGAACCCCCCGAGACCCACCCACUCUCCUAGGAUCGGAAGGCCAGUGCUGGGCGGCCGUCUUGACUGUGGGUAGCAAAGCCCGGGGAGCCAUGACCGCUGAGGAGAGGCAGCUCAGUCCCUGGAAGUGAGGGGCUGAAGAGCACCUUGGACAGUAGUGGUCUUGACAGCUCCAGUGACAGUCCCAUCCCCCACAGCCCUCAUUCCGGCAAUGGUGGCAGCUCCCUUGGCAGGCUGACAGAGCCCUCCCCCAGCACAAGCUGAAAUCUCCCAGCAGCUGCUUUCCUCGCCCUCCCUAUGGUUCUGAGUGGCCUAGGGACUCAACUGUGGCCAGUGGGAAGUAAGAGCACAUCUGUUUGAAGUUUGGAGGAGACUGAAGAAGGGAAGUUGGAAUUUGAAGAAGGGAAAUUCCCGAGAAAAAGGCCCUUAGAGGAGUAAGCACCUGUUCAGGCUAGCCUCUGGAUGCUGUCAAGAGAUGAUAUAGUAUUUGGAGCUAUGGCAACCCUAGGGCCAUGAGGAGAAGGCCAAGGAAUGACAGGGACACCUGUCCACAUCCUGCCAAACCAGCCCCGUCAAAGCCAUCUCUGCCCUUCGUGUUUUGUGACAUGAAAAAUUCGAUGAUUUCGCCAAUUUUUGUUCUGUUUUGUUUGCUUUUUAGGGCCACACCUGUA